CUUUUUCUUGCCUUAUUGCACUAACUGGAACCUCCAGUAUAAUGUUAAUUAGUAGUGUUGAAACUAAAUAUCCUUACUUUGUUUCUAAUCUUAGAAGAAUACAUUCACUUUUUUCACCUUUAAUAAUGAUGUUAACUGAAAGAUUUUCAUAGAUGGCAUUUAACAGAUAAAGUAAGUCUCCUCUAUUUCUUUUUUUCUGAUAAUAUUCAUCAGUAAUGGAUGUUAGUUUUUUCAAAUGCUUUUCCUGCAUCUAUUGUGAUGCUCACAACAUUUUUUGGUGUGUGCAUGUAUGUUUUUAGUCUGUUAAUAAGAUGAAUUAUAUGGGUUGAUAUUUAAAGGUCAAACCAAAUUUGUAUUGCUGGGAUAAAUCAAAAUUCAUCACAGUAUAAAUUUAUUUGUAUAUAUAGUUCAAUAUGAUUCUCUAAAAUUUAGUUGAAAUUAUUUCCAUGCAUGUUCAUGAUAAAUAUUGUUCUAUAGUUUUAUUCUCGUAAUGUCUUCUUCUGGUUUUACUAUUAGAGUAAUGCUGGUCUCAUAAAAUGUGUUGGGAAACAUUCUCUUCAAUUUUCUGGAACACUUUGUGCUUAGACAUAUUUUAUGACCUGGUGUGACCAGCGGCUAUAUAAGCAAGAACAACAUAUUGCUCAACUCCAAGGAUGACUUUCAUAUUACUGUGCAAAUAUUGUCAACUGGAUUGUUCAGCAAAAACACCAUGCAACCCAGGUACUGUAACGGCAAAAACAGUCAUGUUUAUUUUGAAAAGCAUAUUCUCAAGGACACCAUAGUGAGUUAUUAUAACUAAUCCAAUUUGUGGUGAAACAUUUUUUCAGUAGGAAGUAUAGAAGAAGUCUUCCAGCUUUUGGUGGUUAGCUACCAUAUGGAUAUAAGAAUAGAUGGAAGACAGAAAAUUCAAAGGCCUUAAGCAAUGCUGCCAAAAUCAAAGCAUAAAGUUGGGCCAGACCAUGGUGACUUGGUAAUCCAGACAGGUAAGGGUUAGUGAUACUGAAUGGAAUAUAAUCGGAACAUUCAUAAGGUUGUAGGCUUCAGAAG
rnacentral:lncRNA from 10 species